rnacentral:lncRNA from 1 species
CAAUUAUAUGCAUAACUAUGACGGCGACGAGCAACGGCAAGAGGCAUUAGAGGAGUCGCAUAGUGAUACUUUCUCAUGCAUAUUUUUAUCCAACGUUAUGCAGAUUUGUGUUUAUGUUUAUACAUAUUUGUGUUCAAUUAUGUGCAUAAUUUUGACGGCGGCUAUGCCAAAAAAAUGAAUUUUCGACAAAAAAAAAUUAAAAAAAUACUCCUCCGUGCACCAAUUCGUGUUCCAAUUUGUCAUUUUUGUCCGUCCACCACUUUGUGUCCUACUUAUUUUUAGUAACUAUUUUCUUAACAAAUAAAUUACUUUUUUUCUUAAAAGUCGUGCCCCUUCUCCACUCAAUAAAUAACAAUACACUUUUUCUUAAAAAUUGUG